GUCUAAAAAACUGGUAAGCCCUAUAAUUAAUGGUGAUUGUGGGCAAUAGACAUUUGAGGGUAAUACAAUUUCUGGUGUAUGUAGAACUCGUCGUCAAGAUCCAUCUACAACACGGUUUUGAAAAGAAGCCAAUAUGUGAUUUCGGAUGACCUCUUGGUUUAACAUUAUUGAUACUCUUCUGUUUGUCUUUGGUUCUAAACUUAUAGGUGUCUUGUGGGGGGUACUCAUUCAGUUGCAUUGACACGUGAUGGUCGCAUGUUCUCAUUUGGACGAGGUGAUCAUGGUCGUCUAGGAUAUGGGAGAAUAGAAACUACAGGCCAUACUUCAGAAGUCCCAAUAAACUUAAUUCCUCCAUUUAGAGAUAUUGACAGCAAUGAACCUGACAGACAAUGGAGGGCUAAUCUUAUUGCUUGUGGUGGCCGCCACACGUUAGCCAUAGUGGAAUGGGACACAACUGAUUAUCUGUAAUAUCUCUUUUUCCAUGUCUAGACUAUAUGAGGAUGCAAAAUCAUAAUGUAAAAGCUUUAACUUCAUUUUUAUUGUUCCUAUCAAAAUACUAUUAUAAGAAAACUUUUAAACAUACUUCAUAUUUAUUAGUUAAGGGGUGGUUCAACAACAAAUGGUAAAGAGAAAAAUCC